rnacentral:rRNA from 1 species
GAUGAACGCUGGCGGCAUGCUUAACACAUUCAAGUCGGAUGGGAAACAUGGGAAAUGGUAUUUCUAGUGGUGGAUGGGUGAGUAACGCAUAAGAACCUGCCCUUGGGACGGGAACAAUAGCUGGAAACUGCUGCUAAUACCCCGUAGGCUGAGGAGCAAAAGGAGGAAUCUGCCCGAGGAGGGGCUCGCGUCUGAUUAGCUUGUUGGUGAGGCAAUAUCUUACCAAGGCAAUGAUCAGUAGCUUGUUCGA